rnacentral:rRNA from 1 species
AUUGAACGCUGGCGGCAUGCCUUACACAUGCAAGUCGAACGGCAGCAUAGGAGCUUGCUCCUGAUGGCGAGUGGCGAACGGGUGAGUAAUAUAUCGGAACGUGCCCUAGAGUGGGGGAUAACUAGUCGAAAGAUUAGCUAAUACCGCAUACGAUCUACGGAUGAAAGUGGGGAUCGCAAGACCUCAUGCUCCUGGAGCGGCCGAUAUCUGAUUAGCUAGAUGGUGGGGUAAAAGCCUACCAAGGCGACGAUCAGUAGCUGGUCUGAGAGGACGACCAGCCACACUGGGACUGAGACACGGCCCAGACUCCUACGGGAGGCAGCAGUGGGGAAUUUUGGACAAUGGGGGCAACCCUGAUCCAGCAAUGCCGCGUGAGUGAAGAAGGCCUUCGGGUUGUAAAGCUCUUUCGUCAGGGAAGAAACGGUUUUGGAUAAUACCCAGAGCUAAUGACGGUACCUGAAGAAUAAGCACCGGCUAACUACGUGCCAGCCGCCGCGGUAACAC